rnacentral:lncRNA from 1 species
GUGCACUGUUGACCACAAAAGCUGUCUCCAAAGCUCCUUUUGUCUAGAAGUCCAUCUCUCCUUUCCCAUGUGACAUUGUGCUCACUUAUUGCAUUAGCUAUUUGGCGUAGCAUUCCACUCCAGACUUCUUCUUUCUCCUCUUCCGGUUUCUUAUCUUUUGUUCGAGAGAGCCAUUCUCUUCUUGAUCUGCCUCAUGAAAUGGUCGAUCAAAUUCCUCCAAAGUUCCAGCAAUUCCUUUUGAUGUAAUUGCCUGCCUUGAAAUGAUCUUUGUACAUAUGCCAAAGCCAACCUUUAAUGUCCUCCCAGUGGAUUUAAUGCAAGGCAUUAAUACCACCACUUGAGAUUCUACUAUAACAUAAGGCUUUAGCAUCGAUGAGAUACCUGCAAAAAAGUAAACAAUGUUAGCUGAAAAAUUGCUAACCAAUCUCUCCUCAAGAAUGAUUCGAGUCCGAUAGCAAAUUGUAGCCUCUUUUCCUCCUAAUUGCUUGCAACCUUCACUCUUAUGUAAGGACAUUGCAUCUUGUCUUCUUAAUAAUCCUCCUUCCUUUUGAGUCCAUAUCCCAGAAGCCAUGACAUUCAAUAUUUCCUUCAUCUAGAGCAUAGUUGGCAAGGUGGUCUGCUAAUGUAUUCCCUUCUCUGAGUAUGUGUGUGACCUUGAUGAUACUUUAUUCCUUCAAUCUUAAAAUCUCCUCAACGUGAUCAGUAAUACGCCAAGGAGGUUUCCAUGAUUCCUCUAUAAUGUUCUUUAAUAGCAAGGAAUCUGUCUGCAGCCAUAUCUGAAAAUAAUUAAGAUUUUUGCACAUCUUCAAUGCCUCCACAAUAGCUACUGCUUCUGAUUCAUUAUUGGUUCCUUCAGAAAUCUCCCUUCCUUCUGCAUAUAUCAAAUCACCUACCUCAUCCCUUAUGCAAAAACCAAUUGAACUCCUCUCUGGGUUCCUUCUAAUAACCAAUUGAAAUGCUCCAUCCGUAUUUACUUUGAUCCACCCUCUUGGAGGAAAUUCCCAUAACACAUUUUCAUAUUUCAAUCGAGGUGUGUAUUACUCCAUUAUUGUCAGUAAGUCCAGUCACUUGUGAGGCACAUGCAGUCCAGGCUUUUUUAGUUGGACUAGACCUUGCAGAGUAGAUGACACCUGGUAAAUAACUCUGCUCACUGACACUGCUUCUCCAUAUUUCAAACUGUUUCUUCUCUUCCAAAGUUCACAUACAAUGCAUGCAGGUAAAGCUUGUAAGACUGGCUUCAAUCUGGGAACAACUGGUGCUGUCCAACACUUUGUAAUUGCUUGUUGUAAAGAUAACCCUUCUAAUGCAAUUCCUGCUCUCCUCAGGAAGUAAUUCCAAACACUCCUAGCUGCAUUGGAUGUGAAGAACAAAUGUACUAAUGACUCCUCCUUAGGAUCAGCACAGCACCAACAUUUUGAUGGCAUGGAGUAUCCUAUUUUACGCAAGAAAUCAUCAAGUGGCAGUUCGGCUUUCCACACCUUCCACAGGAAGAAGGAUAUCUUGAAAGGUAAGGCUUUGACCCAUAUCAUCCUGUAGCCUAAUCUUGGGCUGUCUCUUCUUCGCAGGUAAUCCCAUGUGUGAGCACGUGAUUUUUGCCCUAUGUGAGAAUUACUCC